rnacentral:rRNA from 1 species
AUAAUACUCCAUAGAUUAGAGACACUGGAAUGUUCUUUAGUCGAAAGUUCUGGCGCCUUAGGAUGGAUCUGCGGUCGAUUAGGUUGUUGUUGGGGUAACGGCCCAACAAGCCUGUAAUCGAUACGGGUUGUGGGAGCAAGAGCCCGGAGAUGGAAUCUGAGGCACGAUUCCAGGCCCUACGGGGCGCAGCAGGCGCGAAAACUUUACAAUGCAGGAAACUGUGAUAAGGGAACUCCGAGUGCCCGUAUACGCGGGCUGUCCAGGUGUUUAAAAAUCAUCUGAAGAAAGGGCCGGGCAAGACCGGUGCCAGCCGCCGCGGUAAUACCGGCGGCUCGAGUGGUGGCCACUAUUAUUGGGCUUAAAGCGUCCGUAGCUGGACCGAUAAGUCUCUUGGGAAAUCCGCCGGCUCAACCGGCGGGCGUCUAAGGGAUACUGUUAGUCUAGGGACCGGGAGAGGUGAGAGGUACUCCGGGGGUAUGAGUGAAAUCCUGUAAUCCCCGGGGGACCACCGAUGGCGAAGGCAUCUCACCAGAACGGCUCCGACAGUGAGGGACGAAAGCUGGGGGAGCGAACCGGAUUAAAUACCCGGGUAGUCCCAUCCGUAAACUAUGCGCGUUAGGUGU